rnacentral:rRNA from 1 species
GAUCAGUGGCUCGAGGAACGAACGCUGGCGGCGUGCUUAACACAUGCAAGGUCGAACGGAACUUCUUGGAUAGAGGCUUCGGCCAAUUGAAUUGAAGUUUAGUGGCGGACUGGUGAGUAACGCGUGAGGAACCUGCCUUUCAGAGGGGGACAACAGUUGGGAAACGACUGCUAAUACCGCAUGACACAGUUCGGGCGGCAUCGCUUGAAUGUCAAAGUAUUUUAUCGGCAAAGGAUGGGCCUGCGUCUGAUUAGCUAGUUGGUGGGGUAACGGCCUACCAAGGCGACGAUCAGUAGCCGACCUGAGAGGGUGAUCGGCCACAUUGGAACUGAGACACGGUCCAAACUCCUACGGGAGGCAGCAGUGGGGAAUAUUGCACAAUGGGCGAAAGCCUGAUGCAGCAACGCCGCGUGAAGGAAGAAGGUCUUCGGAUCGUAAACUUCUGUCCUUAGGGAAGAUAAUGACGGUACCUUUGGAGGAAGCCCCGGCUAACUACGUG